CCAGGACACUACGAGCAUCAGCUUAAAACCCAAAGGACUUGGCGGUGCUUUGAAUCCACCUAGAGGAGCCUGUUUAAGAACCGAUAAUCCCCGUUUUACCUUCCCUUUCUUGUUUCUUUCAGCCUAUAUACCGCCGUCGUCAGCCCACCNUUUAAAGUCAAAUAGUGGGCAAAAAUAGUACAGCUCAAAACGUCAGGUCGAGGUGUAGCUUAUGAAAGGGUAUAUAAUGGGCUACAUUCUCUUAUAGAGAACACGAACUUUGUAUUGAAAUAUACUUAUGAAGGAGGAUUUAGAAGUAAAUAGCGACUAGAGAACCCU
rnacentral:rRNA from 1 species